UACAGAGGGGGCAAGCGUUGUUCGGAAUUACUGGGCGUAAAGGGCGCGUAGGCGGCCUUCUAAGUCAGACGUGAAAUCCCUCGGCUCAACCGGGGAACUGCGUCCGAUACUGGGAGGCUUGAAUCCGGGAGAGGGAUGCGGAAUUCCAGGUGUAGCGGUGAAAUGCGUAGAUAUCUGGAGGAACACCGGUGGCGAAGGCGGCAUCCUGGACCGGUAUUGACGCUGAGGCGCGAAAGCCAGGGGAGCAAACGGG
rnacentral:rRNA from 1 species